CUUCAUUUGCGAACCAUGUGCCAACAGAUGGCCUCCAGCCCUGUUGGGAAGAAACACUAGUCCCGGGGUGGAAACGAGCUGUAGAUCAGCCGUGAGCUUCAGCUGAAAGACCAGCUGACAUCGAUCCAACUAUUAUCACCCCUGCUUUUCUAGUGCCGAGAUGUUUUUUAAAAUGUCUGGAAGGUGCUAUACAAGAAUGUUCUGAGAAGGCUCUUGACCUUCCUAACUGCCUUUGUAAAAACGAAGAUUGACAUCAGCCGUCUUCAAUUUCCUGACGCCACAUAGAGUAACAGCUUAUGACCACCAGUUGACGGGACAUCAUAAAGAAUGAAAUACACUCAGGUCAGGCGGGAGCAUGUUCUGUUUCCAUCAGUCACCAUUCUGACUGGCAAGUGAUGGAAAUAUGAGGGCCUCUGGGGUCAGAAAGACCUGACUUGAAUUCCGUCUCCGCCAUUCACAUUCUUGCUCCGUAACUCAGGGACCACAGCACUUACCUGAUUAAUUAAGAUAAUGGAUCUACAGGGCUUAACGCAAAUGUAGGUUUAACCAAAUGUUAACUCUUU
rnacentral:lncRNA from 1 species